GACGAACGCUUGCAACCUGCUUAACACAUGCAAGUCGAACGCAGUGGCGAACGGGUGAGUCAUACGUGGGUAACCUGCCCUCCUUUUUGGGAUCAGCCUUGGAAACGUGGUCUAAUACCGACUAAAGGGGGAUGGGCUCGCGGCCUAGCAGCUUGUUGGUGGGGGAAUGGCUUACCACGGCGGUAACGGGUAGCCGGCCUGAGAGGGUGACCGGCUACAUUGGGACUGAGAUACGGCCCAGACUCGUAUGGGAGGCAGCUGUGGGGGAGAUUACGCGAUGGGCGAUUGCCUGAUGCAGCGACGCCGCGUGGGGGAUAAAGGCGUUGGUGUUGUAAACCUCUUUCGGUAUCGAACGGGUAGGUGGACAGGAGGCGCCGGCGAACUACGUGCCAGCAGCCGCGGUAAUUC
rnacentral:rRNA from 1 species